UUUCCGUAGGUGAACCUGCGGAAGGAUCAUUACUGAGUGAGGGCCCCUCGGGGUCCAACCUCCCACCCGUGUUUAACGUACCUUGUUGCUUCGGCGGGCCCGCCUCACGGCCGCCGGGGGGCAUCUGCCCCCGAGCCCGCGCCCGCCGAAGCCACCUGUGAACGCUGUCUGAAGUAUGCAGUCUGAGACAAUUAUUAAAUUAAUUAAAACUUUCAACAACGGAUCUCUUGGUUCCG
rnacentral:misc_RNA from 1 species